rnacentral:lncRNA from 1 species
CUGUACAUCUCAAACUGCUAUAUCACAGCUACAUAUGAAAACACCAUCCCGCCUUCCCUGCACACUGCGGAGGGAUGUCCCCAGGACCCACUGCAAUGCAAAACGAAAGCUACCUACUAGCUAGCCAGCAGCGGUAAAACAGCAACAACACAUUUUACUGUAAGAAUUUUAGAAGCACAAUCCUCAUGAACUCAUGCCAUCAACCUGCUUCUUCAAACUGGAAACCAGAUUUUCACCUCCAGCAUCCCAAAUUCAACCAAUAACAAGCUUAUUAUGCCUUAGGAACAAUCUAUUGUUAGAAUAUUUUUAAAAUAUAAGCUUUCACUGAUUGCGUAUUUUUGUUUUAUAAAACGAAUUAGAUGUAUGGCCCAUAAUGGUACUAUGGUUAAGUCCAAUAUGAUGUGUAAUCUUUUUGUUUUAUGAACUUUGGUGCAUCUUGGAUGUAUAGGAUUAAGUUCUAUCUAUUGUAGUAAUUUUGGUAUGUAGGCCAAAAAAUUCAAUUAGGAUUUGGAGCCUUUAAUAGAAAGGCUUCCUUAUGUUGCAGAUUUACGUCUAUCUUUUGUGAAAAAUAAAAAGAAAAAUUAUUUCGAAUGAUUGAAGAAUCGUAUUCAAUAUACCAUCUACACAUAUUUUUUUCAAACUUGAAUAUAAUGUUAC